AACGAACGCUGGCGGCAUGCCUAACACAUGCAAGUCGAACGAGACCUUCGGGUCUAGUGGCGCACGGGUGCGUAACGCGUGGGAACCUGCCCUUAGGUUCGGAAUAACUCCCCGAAAGGGGUGCUAAUACCGGAUAAUGUCUUCGGACCAAAGAUUUAUCGCCUUUGGAUGGGCCCGCGUUGGAUUAGCUAGUUGGUAGGGUAAAAGCCUACCAAGGCGACGAUCCAUAGCUGGUCUGAGAGGAUGAUCAGCCACACUGGGACUGAGACACGGCCCAGACUCCUACGGGAGGCAGCAGUGGGGAAUAUUGGACAAUGGGCGAAAGCCUGAUCCAGCAAGGCCGCGUGAGUGAUGAAGGCCUUAGGGUUGUAAAGCUCUUUUACCGGGGAUGAUAAUGACAGUACCGGGAGAAUAAGCUCCGGCUAACUCCGU
rnacentral:rRNA from 1 species